rnacentral:rRNA from 1 species
GACGAACGCUGGCGGCGUGCUUAACACAUGCAAGUCGAAUGGAAAGGCCCUGCUUUUGUUGGGUGCUCGAGUGGCGAAGGGGUGAGUGACACGUGAGUAACCUGCCCUUGAAUUUGGGAUAACUUCAGGAAACUGGGGCUAAUACAGGAUAGAAGAUCCUGCUGCGUGGUGGGGGUUGGAAAGUUUCGGCGGUUGGGGAUGGACUGGCGGCUUAUCAGCUUGUUGGUGGGGUAGGGACUGACCAAGGCUUUGACGGGUAGCCGGCCUGAGAGGGUGACCGGGCUCAAGGCGACUGAGGGAGGGCGCAGACGCGUACGGGAGGCAGUGGGGGAGAGUAUGGCGGAGUGGGGGGGCGUCAGAUGCAGCAGUGUCGCGAUCGUGAUGCUCUGUUAUGAGUGGAAAACCGAUGUCUACGUAGACGUAGCGUGCGUGACGGUAAUUGGUAAGAAAGCACCGGCUAACUACGUG